rnacentral:rRNA from 1 species
GUACACUCCUACGGGAGGCAGCAGUGGGGAAUAUUGGACAAUGGGCGCAAGCCUGAUCCAGCCAUGCCGCGUGAGUGAUGAAGGCCCUAGGGUUGUAAAGCUCUUUCACCGGUGAAGAUAAUGACGGUAACCGGAGAAGAAGCCCCGGCUAACUUCGUGCCAGCAGCCGCGGUAAUACGAAGGGGGCUAGCGUUGUUCGGAUUUACUGGGCGUAAAGCGCACGUAGGCGGACUAUUAAGUCAGGGGUGAAAUCCCGGGGCUCAACCCCGGAACUGCCUUUGAUACUGGUAGUCUUGAGGUCGAGAGAGGUGAGUGGAAUUCCGAGUGUAGAGGUGAAAUUCGUAGAUAUUCGGAGGAACACCAGUGGCGAAGGCGGCUCACUGGCUCGAUACUGACGCUGAGGUGCGAAAGCGUGGGGAGCAAACAGGAUUAGAAACCCUUGUAGUCCCAUGA